rnacentral:rRNA from 1 species
GACGAACGCUGGCGGCGUGCUUAACACAUGCAAGUCGAACGGAAAGGCCCUGCUUUUGUGGGGUGCUCGAGUGGCGAACGGGUGAGUAACACGUGAGUAACCUGCCCUUGACUUUGGGAUAACUUCAGGAAACUGGGGCUAAUACCGGAUAGGAGCUCCUGCUGCAUGGUGGGGGUUGGAAAGUUUCGGCGGUUGGGGAUGGACUCGCGGCUUAUCAGCUUGUUGGUGGGGUAGUGGCUUACCAAGGCUUUGACGGGUAGCCGGCCUGAGAGGGUGACCGGCCACAUUGGGACUGAGAUACGGCCCAGACUCCUACGGGAGGCAGCAGUGGGGAAUAUUCCACAAUGGGCGGAAGCCUGAUGCAGCAACGCCGCGUGCGGGAUGACGGCCUUCGGGUUGUAAACCGCUUUCGCCUGUGACGAAGCGUGAGUGACGGUAAUGGGUAAAGAAGCACCGGCUGACUACGUG